CACACACAUUGAUGAAUUUAACUGAAAUUUAAUCCAGCAAUAAUUCCCCUCAACAGACAUUUAUUUCCUGAGCACUUAGGUUGUACAAGGCAUUGAAGGGAUACAAAGAGUUCCUGCCCAUGAGGAGUUUACCUUCUACCAAUGGCAAAGGACUAAAGCCUUCACUGAGACAAUUGCAUAGGAGGUAAUUUAAGAAGGGAGGGAAGACUGAGCAGAAUCGAAGAAGGUAUUCAUUUAACUUCAUUUCCCUAGAAGACUUUUAAUUGUUCACAAGAAAACCGAUUUUAUCUCAUCUCUUGACAUGUCACAGACACCCAAUUCCAGGAAUGAAUUUUCACACUUCUCUUAGAGAGUUCUGUCAAAUAUUUUCUUCCCCCAUACAAGUUGUAUCUAGUUGACCGUGUGAGGAGUAUACGCGUCUUUUUUAACUUGUUAAAACAUCCUCUCCCUUUUGGGAGUUAAUAAAGGAAAGGGCCAGAGAGAAUUAGGAACGUGGACCCCGUGUGGAAGGGAUGGAACACAGAUUUAGUUUAGAUAUUUUCCCCUCUUAAAGACCUAGAUACAAGGGCCGCCUCUGGUUGCAGCACUCUUCUCCACUGAGUUAUUGAUUGCAGGCAGCUCCAGUCCCACCACAAUAAUUCGUGUUACCACUUCACCCGUGCUGAUUCUGUGUUCAGCAGAAGCUCUCUGACUGUGAGACAUCCAAUUUUUCUCCCUCCUCUUCCCUUCCUAAACUCCCACCAACAAUAUACUCCUCCCUCUGCCCGCCUCCUCCGUCCCCUCUACUCCCCCCCCCCAAUUCUUCGAUGCCGCCAGGGCUAAGGGUGAAGGCUCUAGUGAGCUGUCGCACUGCCGCGUCAAUUCUAAAGCUCUGAGGCAGAAACUAGUGGGGGGUGAGUGCCACGUGGGACCCCGGCGUGAAGGAGGGCUUAGUGUCUCGCCGGAGAAGAGAGCAGAGGCGACCCAGGACCACACUGAAAGAAACGAGCUACGCUCCGCCGCUAAAGUUCCCUUCGCCAGCUGUAGGCGGUCUGGUCUGGAUGCCUUGCCUAUCGGAAGUCAUCUCGGGACUGUGCAGGAGCCUCAGGAGUGUGGGAGCCGCUAGGGCAGGGUGCAGUCCCCUCCCUAGUCCCACCCCCGCCAUGUUUCCUUUCUCCCGACCCCUCUCCCACGCACGUCUCUAGAGUAUGCGUCUGGAAGAGAAGGAUAGGGAGAAGGCCAGAGGGACCUUGAGACCUUGACUUUGUUGUCAUCUCAGGGCAUAGAUUCACUGUUUCAGGUCGUCCACCUCUGGGACGACUAACAGCAAACAGCUGGCGGCAGCGGCGGGAGCAGCAGUAGAAGCAGCGGUUGCUAGACGUGCCAAUGAGAAAGACUUUCUCAGAGUAGGAGAGCAGAAAGCUACUGUUGGUGGGCUAGAAUGAGCAGUCUGUCCCUCCUCCCCGCCCCCCCCCACUCCCGCCUACUUUUCCCUAACAUGCAGGACUAGCGUGGUAUCAUAGUCAUUGCACAAAUGUCAUCACUAAAACAAAAAAUAUUCUUUCUGGUGAGAGCAAGAGAGCUGGUUGUUUGGUCUGUCCCGAGAAUCAUCACGAGUUCCACUAAAAACCUCUUCACAUGUUAAAAAGCCUACUUUGCAAUCAAAAUACUUUACAAAGUUUUCCGGCUGUGUGAAAACUGAAUUCAUCAAUGGAGUGAUUUAAAAAAAAAUGUUUUUGGAUACAGUAUAUAUGUGCUUUUUAAACUGUCCUCUGGAGGCAACAGAAGAGGAGUAAAAUGCUUUGUAAUUUAUAAUUCCAAAACUUUAUUUUAGACUUUCUUAACAUUUCCACCACAAACCACUAGUCUUGGUAGUUUAUAUCUAGGUUAGAUGAAUUCACCUUAAAGAAAUUUGUCAUGAUUUAUAUUCUCAGAACAGGAGUACAUUUUUUUCCUUCAAGCUUAAAAAAUUAAAUUAUUUAUUUUAAAGUGAUACUACAGAAUACAAUAAGAUUCAGUCAAAUGGAAUCAAAAAAAGAGUAAGUUGCAGACACCUCGUCAAACUGGCAAAUUAUGUUUGACCGCAAAACAACAUUUUAUAAUAACCUUCCUAAAAAGAAUCAUAUAACAUAUUGUCAUUAUUAUUAUUAUUUUUAGAAUCCACAGGAACUUCUUUUGAAACAAGAUUUUCCUUUUAGAAUAAGGGCCUAAAGCACUCAGCUAACUGUUGGGAAAAAAGGGUGCUACAUAAAUUUUGGAAAUAUGAUAUUUAUGUGUGUAUCAUAUAUAUAUGGCAUAUUACUUGGACACAUUUGUGUUUCAUCUUUAUUAGAAUGAGUUUUGGAAAGAAAAUUACAAUACUAUACAUGCAACACAAGUAAUUGCAACUCAAACAUUUGUAAAUAAAUAUUUAGAAAAUACUCCA
ensembl:lncRNA